ensembl:lncRNA
AGCGAGUGAGGAAAUGCUCCCUCUCCAGUCUGUUUGGACUAAGUGUGGGAAGCUGAGAGGGAGCAGGGCUGCCUGAACCUGACCUAGGGUGUGCAAACAAAUCCAUCUCCUGUGGCUUUCCUCCCCGUAGACCUGGGGAACAGAACCUCUGCAGCUGUGUUUACAGUUGCCUCAAGGACAAGGAACAACAUUUCUCCAUUAUGCUUCUGUUGCCUCAAAUAGUCACAAAUAGUGUCACAAAUAAUUCCUGUCUGGUUUCAGUGUCACAAAUAGUGUCACAAAUAAUUGCUGUCUGGUUUCACAUACCAGCCUUGGAGCAGCAAUGGAGACACUGGUCCUGACCAGGAGAGCACAGCUCCAGCCAUGUAAGAGGGCUAGAAAACAGGGUCUUCUGCAUGAGGAGUGAUCUCUCUGCAGUCUUGGAAACGCUGUCUCACAGCUGGUUUGAGUUUCUGAUUCAUUUUGACAGCACCUGACACAUUCCUGCCUUAAAGGCCAAAGCUGCUCCUUGCCAGCCCCGUGUGACAAAUGAGAAUAUCCGUGAUGGGUUAAUCUGCUCUUCAUCAGCUGAGCCUGAGCGCUGCUCUUGGAAAGGGACUGGGGACGUUCAGCACAGGCACUUCUGGGGCUGUCAAAAGCUCAGCCUGAGCUUUGCUGAAGCAGACCAGAACUGAUGGAUGUCAUAGCUGAGAAACACUGGGGCAUCAAGGCAGGUGCCAAGUUUUCCCAGUCACUCGGGAUUACUCUGUCAGUGAACCUGACUGCAUAACUAAAUCUGCACAGGUGCCCUCCAGACAGAACAGGUUUUGCAGGACCUCACUGGCUAAAGAGCUCCAAAAAAGGUACUUUGUGUUGUUCUAAUCUGUGUUGCUGGAACUGAAAAAUAGACAAAGGAAUUUGAAAAUAUUUUGAAAAAACCCUGAACCAACUUGGUUUAUUCCAUGUAUGUCCACAGUGGCACCGCAGGUUUGGCUGGAGUGUUUGGCAUAGUAAAAUU